UGGGGAAUAUUGGACAAUGGGUGAGAGCCUGAUCCAGCCAUGCCGCGUGCAGGAAGAAGGCGUUAUGCGUUGUAAACUGCUUUUUGCCAGGGGAUAAAAAGACCGUGCGCGGUUAAUUGAAGGUACCUGGUGAAUAAGCCACGGCUAACUACGUGCCAGCAGCCGCGGUAAUACGUAGGUGGCAAGCGUUGUCCGGAAUCACUGGGCGUAAAGCGCACGUAGGCGGAUAGUUAAGUCAGGGGUGAAAUCCUGGGGCUCAACCCCAGAACUGCCUUUGAUACUGGCAAUCUAGAGUCCGGAAGAGGUUAGUGGAAUUCCCAGUGUAGAGGUGAAAUUCGUAGAUAUUGGGAAGAACACCAGUGGCGAAGGCGGCUAAACUGGUCCGGUACUGACGCUGAGGUGCGAAAGCGUGGGGAGCAAACAGGAUUAGAUACCCCCGUAGUCCCUGAGCGGGCUGGCAAGGCGCAU
rnacentral:rRNA from 1 species